GACGAACGCGGGCGGCGUGCUUAAUACAUGCAAGUGGGACGCAAGAGGACACACUGUGCUUGCACACCGUGUUUUCUUGAGUCGCGAACGGGUGAGUAACGCGUAGGUAACCUGCCUAUUAGCGGGGGAUAACUAUUGGAAACGAUAGCUAAUACCGCAUAAUAUUAAUUAUUGCAUGAUAAUUGAUUGAAAGAUGCAAGCGCAUCACUAGUAGAUGGACCUGCGUUGUAUUAGCUAGUUGGUAAGGUAAGAGCUUACCAAGGCGACGAUACAUAGCCGACCUGAGAGGGUGAUCGGCCACACUGGGACUGAGACACGGCCCAGACUCCUACGGGAGGCAGCAGUAGGGAAUCUUCGGCAAUGGACGAAAGUCUGACCGAGCAACGCCGCGUGAGUGAAGAAGGUUUUCGGAUCGUAAAGCUCUGUUGUAAGUCAAGAACGUGUGUGAGAGUGGAAAGUUCACACAGGACG
rnacentral:rRNA from 1 species